AUUUCAAUUCAAAAUGGCCACUAGGUGGGAACGGCAACUUUUAAAAAUCUAAUCCCCAUUUCUAUAGCAGUUUGUAUUACGGCCUCCGAAGCAAAACAAAAUGUAAUUGAAAAUAAUUCAGAUCUAAAAGUUCCAGUCAAGCUUUCGUUACACUUUUCUCAAGGUCAAUUAUGGCAGUGUUACCAAUUUUUUUCUUAUUGACAAAAUUCAAUAUUUCGGAUAUGUAGGUGUUAAAACAAGAAUGUUGUGCAUACUAUCAAUAUAACAGAUUGUGUGCUAAAAUAUUGUGAAUUUUACUAUUUGCACCACAUUAGUUUGUCCGAAAAAUUAAUAACGUGUUCACAUUUCAAAGUUUGAUCAACUUUGUUGUGUUUAUUAAUCUGUUACAUUUGAAGGUUAGCCGUACCUAACUCCCUCUAGCGGAACUAACCUCAACUCCGCGUUGGCGGAAGAUGGCUGUCGUGUGCUGUGUUGCUCCGAAUAUUUACGGAACUUUUUAAAAGGUUUUACGUAUUAAAUCGUGACGAUUGACUGAAAAGUGUCCCAAAAGUUCUUCACUCACAUCUUAAAGUGUUGUUCUGUGAUUUUUGUGAUGUUUUGUUUUUGUUUUCACUUAAAAAAGUGCGGCAACAAGAGUGAAGCAACUAGUUUUGAGUGAGUGUUUUUAGGAAUGCUGUGAACCCAAGUGGAUUGUGCCCCUGUAACUGGUACUUGGAGUCGGACACGAUGCAUUUGGAUCUCAAGAACCCUUAGUAUGAAGUCCUCAAUACCCUUACAAUUCCCUGAAAUCAAUCUAAGUACCCAGAAGUUUCAUGAAAAAAUAUAGAUCUUGGCACGGGUGUUGAAGCUAAAAUUAAGUUGAUAAUUUAGUGUAGUUUAAAUAUUAGCAAUAAAUUAAUACAUUACA